GACGAACGCUGGCGGCGUGCUUAACACAUGCAAGUCGAACGGUAAGGCCCUUCGGGGUACACGAGUGGCGAACGGGUGAGUAACACGUGGGUGAUCUGCCCUGCACUUCGGGAUAAGCCUGGGAAACUGGGUCUAAUACCGGAUAGGACCACUGCCUGCAUGGGUGGUGGUGGAAAGCUUUUGCGGUGUGGGAUGGGCCCGCGGCCUAUCAGCUUGUUGGGGGGGUGAUGGCCUACCAAGGCGCCGACGGGUAGCCGGCCUGAGAGGGUGACCGGCCACACUGGGACUGAGAUACGGCCCAGACUCCUACGGGAGGCAGCAGUGGGGAAUAUUGCACAAUGGGCGCAAGCCUGAUGCAGCGACGCCGCGUGAGGGAUGACGGCCUUCGGGUUGUAAACCUCUUUCAGCACCGACGAAGCGCAAGUGACGGUAGGUGCAGAAGAAGGACCGGCCAACUACGUGCCAGCCGCCGCAGUAAAAC
rnacentral:rRNA from 1 species